rnacentral:rRNA from 1 species
GACGUAGGAGGCGAGCGUUGUCCGGAUUCAUUGGGCGUAAAGAGCGCGCAGGCGGCUUGGUAAGUCGGAUGUGAAAUCCCGAGGCUCAACCUCGGGUCUGCAUCCGAUACUGCCCGGCUAGAGGUAGGUAGGGGAGAUCGGAAUUCCUGGUGUAGCGGUGAAAUGCGUAGAGAUCGGAAAGAACACCAACGGCGAAAGCACUCUGCUGGGCCGACACUGACACUGAGAGACGAAAGCUAGGGGAGCGAAUGGG